AUGUGUGUGCACAGUCGCCAAAGGCGAACUGUCAUCUGAGUAUAUAUCUCAUAAAAGAAUCUUCUGGAGCUGCUUCUCGUCGGGGAUCUGGUGACGUGAUGCUGAAAUAUAACUCCGCCAUAAAAACGGACACCGGACGACCCCUGACACCUCUCAACUCCCAGCUAAGUGGGAAGAUGGAGGAGAGGUGUGAUGACAAACAUGAGACUCCUUCCUAGUUUGACCCCUAGUCUUCCUCUGCCCAAAUAUAAACUAAACCUGCCAACUCUGCAUAAACAGCCCUCUAGGGACAGACCUCACACCUUCCUAUGAUUAAGCAGUGACAUCAUUGGCUCACCGUUUAUUAUUCAACCAGUCCAUCACUAAACACUUGAGACACCUGAAUGCACCAGUCCACAUGACCUUUUACAGUGUGUUACACCUUGAAACCAAACUGAGCAGCCAGAACUCUCAGCUGCAGACACGCGGAGUCAACUUAUCCUGCCACCACGGAGGUGAUAAUACUCUAGACUCUGAGGGCUUAGUUGGGGCAUUCCCCUGGGGGUAGCCCACCCCCUCCCCUCUCUUAAGACGAACAGUUGGGAUACAGUUUCCAUAAUGAAUGAAAGACGUAUAGUCACAAGUGGCUACUGGGAGGUUUAGGCUGUGUAGUCUAUUCAUGGAUUAGACUGUACAACUCACUUCUUCCAGCUUUAGUCCAGCAUCAAAUUUAACACUUAUUUUUGGCAGAAACAACAUCUGAUCUAGUCAAUCCAGUCGCAUGUGAGGACGUUUGGGUACGUGAAUGCAUGUCUGUGCUGAAGUUCUGUUGUCUUUUUAGCCUAAUUCCAAAUAGAUGCUCACUGCAAAUUUCGUUACAUAUCUUUUUUUGCAAUGACUCUGUGUGUUCAGUAAUAUUUUAACAGCGGUUGAAGGAAUAUGUGCUCUCUCUCUCUGUCUCUCUCAUGGCUUCAAGAAGAGAGUCCUUGUUUGGGAGUUAUUAUCUGGGCAGAACGUUUUUGCUCAAGUGUUGUUCAACAACUAUUCUGUAAUCAGUCAGAAAUUGAUUGUGCAUACUUUAUGGAGAAAAAUGGAAAUGUAGGUCGAACAUUGUGCACAGAGGAACCCGUCUGACACAAAAGAUGUUUCCUGUGUAUGAAUGACCCAGCCAGAACUGACUUUAUUCUUGUCCUUGCUAUAAUGGACGCCCAACACUCCUCUGGAACUGAGGACAGGGCUGUUUAAUGCACCGUGACCUUGGCACACUUGUUAAGUUGUUAUUUAUUGAUCUCCAUCCUGACGUUACUUGGACCUGCACAAAAUUUAGAAACUCUUACUCUGGAAGUCUCUAUGUGCACUGUAAUCUCCAGUAGUGAAGGUAAUUAACCACAUCGGUGAUUGAGGAAAUGACACAACCACACCCACACUGCGUCAAAUAUUCAAACAGAAUCACACUUGUGUACUCAAAUAAAAUACUUCAAUUUGAACAUUUUUACUAGGAGUUAUUUAUAUGCAGCAGCUACGAAGACAAAAUAUUUUAAAAAGACUCUUUGUAGCUUAGGACCCAACUUAGGACCCACUGCAUUCACCCUACCAAAGGAAUGUUGACAUGAGGACACAUGCGACCAAGACUACCUCCAAAUGUGGUCACAGAUUGGAUCUCUCUAAUGCGAUUGUUAUCUGGGACUAAGAGGCCUGAAACCCACCAGCCACAUGUAUCUUCCUAUAACUGGGAUUUACUGUAUCAUAAGCACGUGGUCCCAGAGGAGCAAAUCCCUGAAAGAAGAUUUUAUAGUUAUUCUUUCAAAUGCCGCUCAUUGGUAUUUCAUCUCAUUAGCAUGACGUAACAUACCCUUUUACAACUUCCAACAGCACUUUUCAAUUUAAACAACUAGUGUGAAAACAAAAUGAUCACAUACACAUAACACAUGCAGGACACAUGACACUGCAGCAGAGACUUCGGGGAAAUGACCCCAUCCCGGUCUCUGUGCCAGGCACACCCGCCGCCACUCAAACUCCCCACCGCCUCCUCCCCAUCUGGUCUAUAUAAAACUUCUGGCAGUGACAGUCUGAGCUGGUAAUGCACUCCGAGUGUGAAGCAGAGAGAGCUAAGCCUAAAUCACUGGAGUGGACUUCAACUGUGCGGCAGCCAGUUGCAGUUUUGCUGGCUUGGCUCGUACCUUGAUCAAGGAUGCCUGAAGAGAGGUUCUGAAGCUCAGUGUGGCGUCUACCAGAGUCGCCAUCUCCGCUGUGCUUGACUCCACCCAGCUCCCAGUAAAUCAAAAACGGGCAAAGAGGGAGAGCGUGCCAAAGGCCACAUAUGUGGAGAGAAAGACAGGCAACCAGAGCAAACACUGGUUGGGUCGGUUUCAAAGACUGUUUCAAAUCCUGUCUGGUGGGUUUCAGGUGCUGUGCAACUGUUACGACGAAUUUCAGUGCUUGCACAAGUUGUUACAUAUAAGCGGAGGCUUGACACACUGAUGAUAAAAUAUUAAAACAAGCCUUAGGGAAAUGUUCAGGCACGUUGUUAAUCAGAUAACAUUUUCCUCGCUAUGUUAUUGAAAUGAGUGAUUUCACGAUUUGACCAAAAAGAUUUUAAACAUUUUGAAAGGGCUGAGAUUGCGUACGAGACUGUUAACCUUCAUUAUUGGGUAAGAACGAGAUAAGAAGCGACCGUGAAUCAGUCCAGGCGGAGUGAGCUUUGUCCUACACAAGAUGACCCGUCUGAAUCUUUCGUGAUAUCAAGAAUUCAAAACGAAAGCAUAACUCAUAAUACCCGCGAGAACAACGAUGGUUACUUGUGCAAGUGCUAGCCGUCAAUAUAACCAGGCCACAAUAGUCUGGUCGCAUAGGAAGCAGGCUAUGACAGGCGGCGUUGCAGCAGCAUGCUCCCGUUUAAAGCUCUGAAUUUUGACGGUUCUGGUUGAGUUCAUACUUGGAGACAUUACACGAAUUGGUUUCACUAAUUAAACUGGACCCAAAUCAAAAGCCCCAUUGACGGUUUCCAGUUUCAGGGACACUACUUACCUCGUAGUGCUUCAUCUUGGCAGUUUGCGCCUCUUCCUUAAUAUCCCCGAUGAGUGACAGCUAGUCGUCCAAUCAGCGGAGUAAUAUGCGACUGGUGAGAACGCUGGAGGCGGGCACUACUUUUCUUACAACAACCAAUCACAAUCGUUAUUACUUAAAUAGACACGCCCAUGUCGUCGGCUAUAUAGCCAAUACGAUUUAAGCAAACAGAGAGGUCAUAGGUUAUCGUCUAUGGCCAGUAUAUACGUUCAAAGUCUAUGGCUAACAUUUAAGUAUUUAUGGGGUUUCUGCAUUGGGUUCUUGCGGUUUCUUGCAGUUUUAGUUAAAAAAACAAACAAAACAAAACAAAAAAACAAGACACUAGACCAAACUCUAGACCACACGCAAAUUAUUUUGUGACUUCAUUUCCAUCCGCAGAGCACUGUUAUUAAUUUUAUGAUUUCAUUGAUUAUUUGCGUAUUAAAGCUACUACGUAUAUAAAUCAGAAUCAGAUUUACGUACACACAAAAAGAAUAUAAAUAUUAAUUUUCAAAGAGCAAAUAAAGGUUGUGCAUGGAUGUGCAAAAAUCACCCAGGAAUGUACACAUUGCUCCUUUUGGACAUUAAACUGUGUGUAACGUCUUCUUAAAACAUUCUACAUAUUUCUGUUUAAUUACAUUUUCGUGUAAAUUGUAUUUUCCUUUUGUAUGCAUUUUAUAAAUAAAAUGUGUUUCUCAUA